rnacentral:rRNA from 1 species
GAUGAACGCUGACAGAAUGCUUAACACAUGCAAGUCAACUUGAACUUCGGUUUGGGUGGCGGACGGGUGAGUAACGCGUAAAGAACUUGCCUCACAGAUAGGGACAACAUUUGGAAACGAAUGCUAAUACCUGAUAUUAUGAUUAUAUGGCAUUGUAUAGUUAUGAAAGCUAUAUGCGCUGUGAGAGAGCUUUGCGUCCCAUUAGCUAGUUGGAGAGGUAACGGCUCACCAAGGCGAUGAUGGGUAGCCGGCCUGAGAGGGUGAUCGGCCACAAGGGGACUGAGACACGGCCCUUACUCCUACGGGAGGCAACAGUGGGGAAUAUUGGACAAUGGACCAAGAGUCUGAUCCAGCAAUUCUGUGUGCACGAUGAAGUUUUUCGGAAUGUAAAGUGCUUUCAGUUGGGAAGAAAAAAAUGACGGUACCAACAGAAGAAGUGACGGCUAAAUACGUG